UCAAUUUGACCCGGAGUCACGCGGUGUGGUUCGCCAGAUCCAGCCGAGAUGGGCCAGGUUUCGCGAUGAUGGCACCGAGUCUGAGGAUCUAGAUUUUAUAAAGCCUCAUCACCACGACCACGACCACGACCACGACCACGAACACGAACACGAACACGAUCAUGAUGACCAUCACCACCACCACCACCAUCACCACCGCCGCCAUCACCAUGGAGAGGAAGACGAGAAGGAUGAGAGGGAGGAGCACGAGGGCGGGUUCAUGAGGAGGUUUC
rnacentral:lncRNA from 1 species